rnacentral:rRNA from 1 species
AACGUAGGAGGCAAGCGUUAUCCGGAGUUACUGGGCGUAAAGCGUGCGUAGGCGGAUGACUAAGUGGGUGGUGAAAGCGCCCGGCUAAACCGGGCGAGGACCAUUCAGACUGGUCGUCUAGAGGCGGAUAGAGGGGUGCGGAAUUCCGGGUGUAGCGGUGAAAUGUGUAGAGAUCCGGAGGAACACCAGUGGUGCAAACGGCGCCCUGGGUCCGAACUGACGCUGAGGCACGAAAGCGUGGGGAGCGAACGGG